rnacentral:rRNA from 1 species
CCUACGGGGGGCAGCAGUGAGGAAUAUUGGUCAAUGGGCGCGAGCCUGAACCAGCCAAGUAGCGUGAAGGAUGACUGCCCUACGGGUUGUAAACUUCUUUUAUAAAGGAAUAAAGUGAGGCACGUGUGCCUUUUUGUAUGUACUUUAUGAAUAAGGAUCGGCUAACUCCGUGCCAGCAGCCGCGGUAAUACGGAGGAUCCGAGCGUUAUCCGGAUUUAUUGGGUUUAAAGGGAGCGUAGGUGGGUGGUUAAGUCAGUUGUGAAAGUUUGCGGCUCAACCGUAAAAUUGCAGUUGAUACUGGCUGUCUUGAGUGCAGGUGAGGUAGGCGGAAUUCGUGGUGUAGCGGUGAAAUGCUUAGAUAUCACGAAGAACUCCGAUUGCGAAGGCAGCUUACUAAACUGCCACUGACAUUGAUGCUCGAAAGUGUGGGUAUCAAACAGGAUUAGAUACCCGUGUAGUC